CAUAGUCAUAGCGGCUCUCUGCUACGUCCUCGCUCGCUCCUCAUGCACACCAGCGCCCAGAGUCAUCGUUCUUAGCUUUCAUCUCAUCCCAUGCAAUUGUCAUGAAGCAUAUCAACGCAAUCAUCUAUCCUCUCUUCCUUCUCUUUUGUCGAUCGACCGUGCUGUGCUUAUUAAUGUCCUUUUGUUGCUAUAUAUGCUGCAGUGCUGCAUACAUAUACAGCUAGCCAGCUACUAGCUAGCUUCUUGCAUUGUUCCAGGUCGCCCUGCCGCAGCUGCAAGUUCAGGAAUGAAAAACCAUUGCAUGGCAUGGCAUUGCGCGAUAUGUGGUCCGUCUCCGUGUUUGGAAGCAUCAUAUCAGCACCAGCAGCGCUAGCACACGCCGGCCGUACCGUACGUCGUCGGAAACUAAUAAAGGGCCAGGGGCGGGAUCGAUAUGCCUGGCUCCCUGUAUGCCACUCGCAUGGCUGCCAACUCAUCAUGCAUACACUGCUAGCUAGUCGUUGGCUCCACUGCGGAUGGCGUGCGUGGAGCCAAGCAUGACCGAUCAUCUCCUCCUCCCGUUUUGUUUAGUACUAACAGUACGUAAUCGUCGUUCAUCUGAUGACCAACAAGUUCAGAGUUCAAGACAUCUCUACAUAUGAGUUCAACGAGUACGUCAUGUGUUUCUUUUCACCAAAUGGUCCUUGUUAAUUAGUUCUUUCUUUCUUUCUUUCUUUCUUUCUUUCUUU